rnacentral:lncRNA from 1 species
ACAGGGACGGAACAGGUAUUCCCCGAAAAAUCUUAUAGGGUAUCACAUAAUAGAGAGACAAAGAGCCUUCCUCGCGUGGACACCAUUGCUGUCGUGAGAAGGAACGGCUAGUUUAGUGUUUGGAGGUCGGAGACCUCUAGUCAAUGUAGGAUAGGCCAUGCUGCACGCGAUGACUUGGUGAUUGGCGCCGGUGACAGAGCAAGCUGCUUCUUUGUGGUUUUUGUUUUUUGUUUUUUGUUUUUUUUUGCAAUUUUAUCUUCAUUUCUUGACUGCUGGUCCAAGUAGCAAAAAACGAGUGAAUGUCAUCUUGGGCAUUCAGAUUUAAUUCCACCAAGCCAAAAUUGGCUGAAAUAGGCCAGGGUGGUUAGAGAGAAUUUCGCUGGUGAUGCAGCUUGCGAUGAUGAUUUAAGGGUUUCCGAUGAAACCGAUGAUGGGAAGGAAAUGGAUUUCCUUGAUAAAGAUUCAAGAGCAUCGCAUUAAGUAUAUCUCGAAUCUCUCAAUGAAAGCACCAAAUAUGGUUGAGCAAAAUUCCGCACAAGGAAUAUUCGCAGGUUGAUUGCUCGACCUUUGAUCUUUAUUCUCUCUCUUCCUCGAUCCCUGCAAAAUAAACAGGAGUAAAUAGACCACACUUGGGGGGGUGUUGACCAAUGGCCCUCCUAUGCCUAAGUUAGUUCGAUUGGAUCUUGAUAAAGAUAUGAUAAUAGCUAAAGUGGAUGGAGUUUUCUCUCACCGAGAGAGCCGGGUGGUCGGAGCUGUGUGUGGUGGCACUUAGUUGUGUGGGAGAGAGAGGAGAGAGAGUAUCGGCAAGAAAAGGGUUUUUGGGCUGAGAAAGCGUUAUCUUGAAUAUCUUGUGUAGCCAUGUAUUUAUAGGCUCCUUAUCUGCUAGGGUUUGAAGAAUAAUCCUUUUUGGUUAGGAUUAUUCUUACCCAUAAAUAAGAACUUGGAAUUAAUCAAAGAGAUUUGAUGGAAAUCUCAUCCUUGAUUUGGG